UGGGGAAUAUUGCACAAUGGGCGCAAGCCUGAUGCAGCCAUGCCGCGUGUAUGAAGAAGGCCUUCGGGUUGUAAAGUACUUUCAGCGGGGAGGAAGGUGUUGAGGUUAAUAACCUCAGCAAUUGACGUUACCCGCAGAAGAAGCACCGGCUAACUCCGUGCCAGCAGCCGCGGUAAUACGGAGGGUGCAAGCGUUAAUCGGAAUUACUGGGCGUAAAGCGCACGCAGGCGGUCUGUCAAGUCGGAUGUGAAAUCCCCGGGCUCAACCUGGGAACUGCAUUCGAAACUGGUAGGCUAGAGUCUUGUAGAGGGGGGUAGAAUUCCAGGUGUAGCGGUGAAAUGCGUAGAGAUCUGGAGGAAUACCGGUGGCGAAGGCGGCCCCCUGGACAAAGACUGACGCUCAGGUGCGAAAGCGUGGGGAGCAAACA
rnacentral:rRNA from 1 species